CAUUGAAACACUAGUUUCUGUAUGAUCACCGAAGUUAAGCAAUGUUGAACCUGGUCAGUACCUAGAUGGUUGACCUCUUGGGAAUACCAGGUGCUGUAAGC